rnacentral:lncRNA from 1 species
GGGGAGGCAGGGAGGGGGAGGAGGAGCGGGCGGCGGUGGCGGUGCCUCGGGCUGGGUGGGGGGCGCCGUCCGUUCAGGUGCUGCUGGUGCUGGGGCCGCCGCGUAUCCCGGACCCGGCCGGGUCUGCGCUUCCGAGUCGCCGCCGCCGGACCCCGGGGUGGGGUGGGGAGGAAGCCGGAGACGCCGCGCGCCACACGCGAAAGAAAAGCACCAGAAGUAAAGAAACUUUUACAGCUUUUGUUGAUUUGGCUGUUAACGCUGAUCCCCCGAAUCAAAAAAAGGUAAUCAAACUUGAAAGUUUGCAUUUUAAUUUGUAGCUUCAUUUUAAAUGAUGAGAGGAGAAAAUUGUGCAGUGUUUACCCUCCACUUGGUUGAAAAACAAAGGUUCUAAAAAGGCUAUAUUUAUAUAAUGAGUGGGUUUCUCUGUUUAAAAUCUUGUUGAGGGGGAAAAACUAACUCAGGUGUUAAGUAGUAAACUGAUGAGAACGUCAUUAAAGGUUAGCCUAAGGAAGAUAGAAGGAAAGUUGUGGGACAACUGGUCAUAGUCAGCUAUGAAAGAAAACAAUGAGGAAGGGUUCUGUGUACUGACCUGGGAAGAGCUCCAAAAUAUGUUAUGAAGUGAAAAAAAGAUGUAGGGCUGUGUGAAUAAUGUGCUGCUUUGUGUGUUAAGGGGACAGGCGAGGAAUAAGAAUACAAGCUUGCGUUUGCUUUUCUAAGUAUAAAGCGACUCUGGAAAGGGAGAAACUGCAGAACUGGUAAUGGUGGGCGAGAGGGGGAAGGAGCCUGAUGAGGGGAUGGUGGGAAAUGACGUUGUGUAUGUCUUAUUUUUAAAGUAUUUGGACUGUAUUAUGGAUUCAUAAACUAAACAGAAGUCCUUCUUUCCAAAAUAACUUGUUAUGUGUUUUUGUUUGUUGCUUAUUUCUCUUUCCUAAUUUAUGGUGAUUUUGGACAUUUUCAACAUGAUUUCUCUUAAUAUUUUUAAGGAAAAUGAGCUGUAAAAUUCAAAGAAAGCUUAGGGUAAGUUUGGCUGUCUAUGCCUCGAUUUUUAAGGUGCUGGUGUCACAUUUAAUUUUUAAAGCUGUUUAGUCACAUUUUACUUUGCCGAAAUAUGACAUCAUUUACAUUUGGCAUUAUGGCUGGAUUAUAAAGAUUUCAGAGCAUGGUUUGCCUCCUUUUUUUUUUUUUUUUUUUUUCAGGAAUCAUACUUGCAUAAAAUUUGACUUUUAGUUUUUUUAACCCCAAAGUUGUCAUGACAAAUAGUUGGAGAGUAUGAGCACUCCAUUAAAAUGGUAAUAGAAUCGUUUGUCCAGGUAGUUUGCUUUGCAGAUUUGGGAAAUGCUUUUCUCAAGACAAUCAGAUAUGAACCUCAGUGACAUGUAACUUUAUAUGUAUAUUUAUUUUUAUAGUACUUUCGGGGAAUUAAAACUAGCAGUCAGUGCAGAACAUCAAAAUUUUUUUAUGGCUUAUUGAUUGCUCCACACAGUACAUGAUUUGGGGAAGGGUACUCAGAACCUCUUGGAUGCUAAUAUAAUGAAAGUAGUGAAUGUUGAGUAGUGGUUGACAGUUACUGUGGGCAUUUUCGUUAUGUUUCCAGUAUUCCUUUUUAUUUUGUACGAUAGGAUAAUUAUUUUUGUUUGACUUAGAGGUCUCUAGUCAAACUUAUGCAUAUUUUUUCAUUUGAAUUCCAUGUGGGUCUAUUCAGUCUUUUUGAAAAAAUAGAAUUGCAUUUCAAAAUUUUACUUAAAAUUUUGUUAUUGUUUUUCAAAUUAUAGAAGUAGAGUGGUGUUCAUGAGAAAUUAAAACAAUGCAGUGUAUAUGUACGUGAAGCAGCCUUUGCACGUGUCCACCUCUUCUCACAUCUCUGCAGAAAUGACUGCUGUUAACAGUGUUGUAUAACCUUCGAGUUCUUUUUCUGUGCAUUUACAAACAUGAAUUUUCAGUCUUGAGAACUGAAUUGUCUUGUUUUGUCCGCUUGUUUGCCUUCAAUGUGAGCUCUGUUAGUGUCACAGGUCAGGGAAAUGACCUGGAGUGUGUCAGAAAGUUUAACAUAUAGUAUGCGCCUUAGGACAGUCUCAUCUUUUCACUGGUGAGGGGCUGGUUAGUUUGGGGCACAGUUACGGUUUGUAGUGAGCUCUCACUGUUGUGAGCUUUAAUCUGAUGUGGAUUGAAUUUACCUUUAGACUUAGAGUCCGUGGCUUUUAUAGGACUCUUUAGGGUCCACAUUUCUAGGGUUUUGACCUGGUCAGUAGCUCACAGGUUAAACUGCUUUUGUUCUCCUGCAUGUGCGGGCCAAUAGAAAACUACUUAGGUUCCACCAGCCUGUCCUGGUCUCUGGAGUGAAACUACACAGGUCUGUCCUUAACUAGGAGACAUUGACUUGGAAUGCAGCCUUGGAAGGGGAGAGGGAGCAGAGGCAGUCAGGUCUGGUUUGUCCUAUAAUGACAGCAGACAAGUCGUAUGUACACCCCACCCACCCCUGGCCCCCUGCACAGAGAAGACUGCCUUUCUAACCAAGCUGCAAAUAAUUGCCAAGACUUAAUUCCUUUUAGGUGAUAGAAAGUUGAGUAUUAGUCAAGACUACUAAACUAGGUGAGCUAUAUAGAAAGAUGCAGUACAGUUGACCCUGCCCUGAGCAUAUUUGAAGUCUAGUGUCUUUAACAUUAUGGUUGCCAAAGGGGAGGGAGUGGGACAGAUGGGAGUCUGGGGUUAGUAGAUGCAAACUAUUGCAUUUGGAGUGAAUAAGUGACAAGAUUCUGCUGUAUAGCACAGGGAACUAUAUCUAGUCACUUGUGAUGGAACAUGAUGGAGGAUAAUGUGAGAAAAAGAAUGUAUAUAUCUAUAGUAUAACUGAGUUACUUUGUUGUUCAGCAGAAAUUGACAGAACAUUGUAAAUCAACUAUAAUAAAAAAUUAAAAAAAAGUAUUUGUGGAAGUUGCCAUUGUGGCUCAGUGGGUUAAGAAUCCAACUAGUAUCUAUAAUGAUGUGGGUUUGAUCCCUGGCUUCCAUCAGUGGGUUAAGAAUCUGGUUGCUGUGGCUGUGAUGUAGACUGGCAGCUGCAGCUCCGAUUUGACCUCACCUAGGAACUUCCGUAUGCUGCAGGUAUGGCUGUUAAAAAAAAAAAGAGCAUGUAUAUAAUGAUUAUAACACAAGAUAGGAAAUGAUAGAUUCUAGAAUAAAUACGUACAUAAGAUUGUAAGGGUGCGAAUGUUUCCGCUUUUUACUUUUGUAGACGUAGGAUUUGGAGGGAGAGUAGAUACCUUAACAUUUUUAAAAUACAACAGACUUGGAAAGCUCAAAUAUCAGCUCUGAAGGGGUGAGGAAGUAAGGAGUUGAGUUGCAUCCUCAUGGCAGUCAAUUAUGACAUUUAUUUAUAGUUGUUUAUUUUUGUUUUUACUCUGUCCCACUGGAAAGAACCAUUUGAUGUUUUAUUUGAUAAUUAUCAUACAGCCUCUCUAAGAUUUCAGGAUUUUAGAAAUAAGAAAUUUAAUUGUACCAGAUGAGUGUCGUCUAUCAUUUAAUGUGUCAGGCAGUGUUAGUAUUAAAAGUAAGUUGUUUUUUCCUAUCAUGUUUUUUUCCCCUCAAAGCACAUAUUUAAUGUGCCCUCUCCCACAUUUAUUUGUGGUGCUGUGUCAAAUAAAACAUUUAUAACCAAAUAAAUAUUUUAAACUAUGAAAGUGAACAACAAUAUGGUGAAAAAUCCAUCAAAGUUCCACAUUACAGCAAAACUACCUUUUAUUGUUUUGCAGAUGCAUAAAGUAAAAAAAAAAUUUGAGGUAUAGUUUCUCAUAUGCAUCAUACAAGUGGACAUUGCGUUUUCUCCUUUUCUGAGUCUAAAAUUCUAGAUGGGAGUUCCCGUCGUGGCGCAGUGGUUAACGAAUCUGAUUAGGAACCAUGAGGUUGCGGGUUCGGUCCCUGACCUUGCUCAGUGGGUUAACGAUCCGGCGUUGCUGUGAGCUAUGGUGUAGGCUGCAGACGCGGCUCGGAUCCCGCGUUUCUGUGGCUCUGGCGUAGGCCAGUGGCUACAGCUCCGAUUAGACCCCUAGCCUGGGAACCUCCAUAUGCGGGGGAGGGGGGGGCGGCCCAAAGAAAUAGCAAAAAGACAAAAAAAAAAAAAA